rnacentral:rRNA from 1 species
CAGGUGGGACUACCCGCUGAACUUAAGCAUAUCAAUAAGCGGAGGA